GGAGGAAAAAGAAACCAACAGGGAUUGCCUCAGUAGCGGCGAGUGAAGCGGCAAGAGCUCAGAUUUGAAAUCGUGCUUUGCGGCACGAGUUGUAGAUUGCAGGUUGGAGUCUGUGUGGAAGGCGGUGUCCAAGUCCCUUGGAACAGGGCGCCCAGGAGGGUGAGAGCCCCGUGGGAUGCCGGCGGAAGCAGUGAGGCCCUUCUGACGAGUCGAGUUGUUUGGGAAUGCAGCUCCAAGCGGGUGGUAAAUUCCAUCUAAGGCUAAAUACUGGCGAGAGACCGAUAGCGAACAAGUACUGUGAAGGAAAGAUGAAAAGCACUUUGAAAAGAGAGUGAAACAGCACGUGAAAUUGUUGAAAGGGAAGGGUAUUGCGCCCGACAUGGGGAUUGCGCACCGCUGCCUCUCGUGGGCGGCGCUCUGGGCUUUCCCUGGGCCAGCAUCGGUUCUUGCUGCAGGAGAAGGGGUUCUGGAACGUGGCUCUUCGGAGUGUUAUAGCCA
rnacentral:rRNA from 1 species